AGGACGAACGCUGGCGGCGUGCUUAACACAUGCAAGUCGAGCGGAAAGGCCCUUCGGGGUACUCGAGCGGCGAACGGGUGAGUAACACGUGAGUAAUCUGCCUUCAGCUCUGGGAUAGCUCCGGGAAACCGGGAUUAAUACCGGAUAUGACCACUUCGGACAUCUGUUGUGGUGGAAAGUUUUUCGGCUGGAGAUGAGCUCGCGGCCUAUCAGCUUGUUGGUGGGGUAAAGGCCUACCAAGGCGACGACGGGUAGCCGGCCUGAGAGGGCGACCGGCCACACUGGGACUGAGACACGGCCCAGACUCCUACGGGAGGCAGCAGUGGGGAAUAUUGCGCAAUGGGCGGAAGCCUGACGCAGCGACGCCGCGUGGGGGAUGAAGGCCUUCGGGUUGUAACCCCUUUCAGCAGGGACGAAGCGCAAGUGACGGUACCUGCAGAAGAAGCGCCGGCUACUACGCGCCAGCAGCCGC
rnacentral:rRNA from 1 species